GCGAAUGGUGGAUGCCUUGACUGGUAAAGGCGAUGAAGGACGUACUAGACUGCGAUAAGCUACGGGGAGCUGUCAAGAAGCUUUGAUCCGUAGAUUUCCGAAUGGGGCAACCCAAUGUAUAGAGAUAUACAUUACCUAUAUAGGAGCGAACGAGGGGAAUUGAAACAUCUUAGUACCCUCAGGAAAAGAAAUCAAUAGAGAUUGCGUCAGUAGCGGCGAGCGAAAGCGCAAGAGGGCAAACCCAGUGCUUGCACUGGGGGUUGUAGGACUGCAAUGUGCAAGAGCUGAGUUUAGCAGAACAUUCUGGAAAGUAUAGCCAUAGAGGGUGAUAGUCCCGUAUGCGAAAAACAAAGCUUAGCUAGCAGUAUCCUGAGUAGGGCGGGACACGAGAAAUCCUGUCUGAAUCCGGGUCGACCACGAUCCAACCCUAAAUACUAAUACCAGAUCGAUAGUGCACAAGUACCGUGAGGGAAAGGUGAAAAGAACUGAGGUGAUCAGAGUGAAAUAGAACCUGAAACCAUUUGCUUACAAUCAUUCAGAGCACUAUGUAGCAAUACAGUGUGAUGGACUGCCUUUUGCAUAAUGAGCCUGCGAGUUGUGGUGUCUGGCAAGGUUAAGCAAACGCGAAGCCGUAGCGAAAGCGAGUCUGAAUAGGGCGCUUAGUCAGAUGCUGCAGACCCGAAACGAAGUGAUCUAUCCAUGAGCAAGUUGAAGCUAGUGUAAGAACUAGUGGAGGACUGAACCCAUAGGCGUUGAAAAGCCCCGGGAUGACUUGUGGAUAGGGGUGAAAGGCCAAUCAAACUUCGUGAUAGCUGGUUCUCUCCGAAAUAUAUUUAGGUAUAGCGUUGUGUCGUAAUAUAAGGGGGUAGAGCACUGAAUGGGCUAGGGCAUACACCAAUGUACCAAACCCUAUCAAACUCCGAAUACCUUAUAUGUAAUCACAGCAGUCAGGCGGCGAGUGAUAAAAUCCGUCGUCAAGAGGGAAACAACCCAGACUACCAGCUAAGGUCCCUAAAUCUUACUUAAGUGGAAAACGAUGUGAAGUUACUUAAACAACCAGGAGGUUGGCUUAGAAGCAGCCAUCCUUUAAAGAAAGCGUAAUAGCUCACUGGUCUAGUGAUUUUGCGCGGAAAAUAUAACGGGGCUAAAGU
rnacentral:rRNA from 1 species